CAUAGCGACUAUCGUGGCAUAUCAAUAAGCGGAGGAAAAGAAACUAACAAGGAUUCCCUUAGUAACGGCGAGUGAAGCGGGAAGAGCUCAAAUUUGAAAUCUUCAAGGUUUUACCUUGACGAAUUGUAGUUUAAAGAAGUGUUUUCUGUUGAAGUUUUGGUAAAAGUUCUUUGGAAUAGGACAUCAUAGAGGGUGAGAAUCCCGUAUUUGACCAUUAUUUUCAGCUGUGUGAUACACUUUCAAAGAGUCGGAUUGUUUGGGAAUGCAGUCCAAAAUGGGUGGUAAAUUUCAUCUAAAGUUAAAUAUUGGCGAGAGACCGAUAGCGAACAAGUACCGUGAGGGAAAGAUGAAAAGAACUUUGAAAAGAGAGUUAAACAGUACGUGAAAUUGUCAAAAGGGAAGCGUUUGACACCAGUGUUGUUUUCUCGAAAAUCAAUUAAAAAUGGCGGAUUUUGUGUUGUAUUGACCUUAAAAGCUUUUUCACUCUUUUCUUGUCUUUUUUAAUGCACUUUUCGUUUAACAAGUCAACAUCAGUUUCUUUUGUUGUAAAAGGGUCAUUGGAAGGUGGCUUUCUUUUCGGAGAAAGUGUUUAUAGCCUUUGAUCUCUGCAACCGGAGAGACUGAGGUCUGCAGCGUAGAUCCUUCGGGGUUAGAUACAUUUGUGCUAAGCUAUAGUUCUUUAUAGACAACUUGUUGACUAUAAUCAAUCCUGUAACUUACUCGCUUAUGCUAUUUUACCUACGCUUAGGAUGUUGAUAUGCAUGACUGAUAU
rnacentral:rRNA from 1 species